CCUACGGGAGACAGCAGUGGGGAAUAUUGCACAAUGGGGGAAACCCUGAUGCAGCGACGCCGCGUGAAGGAAGAAGUAUUUCGGUAUGUAAACUUCUAUCAGCAGGGAAGAAAAUGACGGUACCUGACUAAGAAGCCCCGGCUAACUACGUGCCAGCAGCCGCGGUAAUACGUAGGGGGCAAGCGUUAUCCGGAUUUACUGGGGGUAAAGGGAGCGUAGGCGGUUUAGCAAGUAAGAAGUGAAAGCCCGGGGCUCAACGCCGGGACUGCUUUUGAAACUGUUGAACUAGAUGGCAGGAGAGGUAAGUGGAAUUCCUAGUGUAGCGGUGGAAUGCGUAGAUAUUAGGAGGAACACCAGUGGCGAAGGCGGCUUACUGGACUGUAAAUGACGCUGAGGCUCGAAAGCGUGGGGAGCAAACAGGAUUAGAUACCCCAGUAGUC
rnacentral:rRNA from 1 species